rnacentral:rRNA from 1 species
GUUAGAUGCGAUGGGGGGACGGAUCGCGGAAGGUUGUCCGGGUGUUGGACGUCCCGGUCGCUGCAUUGGAGAAGGCGCUUAGGCAAAUCCGGGCGCAGGAUUCAAGGGUGUGGCGCGAGCGACUUCGGUCGCGAAGCAAUUGGAAGUGGUUCCAAGAAAAGCCUCUAAGCUUCAGUCUAACGAUGACCGUACCGCAAACCGACACAGGUGGGCGAGAUGAGUAUUCUAAGGCGCUUGAGAGAACUCGGGAGAAGGAACUCGGCAAAUUGGUACCGUAACUUCGGGAUAAGGUACGCCCUUGUAGCUUGACUGGCCUGCGCCAGAAGGGUGAAGGGGUUGCAAUAAACUGGUGGCUGCGACUGUUUAAUAAAAACACAGCACUCUGCAAACACGAAAGUGGACGUAUAGGGUGUGACGCCUGCCCGGUGCCGGAAGAUUAAAUGAUGGGGUGCAAGCUCUUGAUUGAAGUCCCGGUAAACGGCGGCCGUAACUAUAACGGUCCUAAGGUAGCGAAAUUCCUUGUCGGGUAAGUUCCGACCUGCACGAAUGGCGUAACGAUGGCCACACUGUCUCCUCCCGAGACUCAGCGAAGUUGAAGUGUUUGUGAUGAUGCAAUCUACCCGCGGCUAGACGGAAAGACCCCAUGAACCUUUACUGUAGCUUUGCAUUGGACUUUGAACCGAUCUGUGUAGGAUAGGUGGGAGGCUAUGAAACCGGAACGCUAGUUUCGGUGGAGCCGUCCUUGAAAUACCACCCUGGUUUGUUUGAGGUUCUAACCUUGG